AUUGAACGCUGGCGGCAGGCUUAACACAUGCAAGUCGAGCGGAGCGAGGGUGCUUGCACCUUAGCUUAGCGGCGGACGGGUGAGUAAUGCUUAGGAAUCUGCCUAUUAGUGGGGGACAACAUUCCGAAAGGAAUGCUAAUACCGCAUACGCCCUACGGGGGAAAGCAGGGGAUCUUCGGACCUUGCGCUAAUAGAUGAGCCUAAGUCGGAUUAGCUAGUUGGUGGGGUAAAGGCCUACCAAGGCGACGAUCUGUAGAGGGUCUGAGAGGAUGAUCCGGCACACGGGGACUGGGACACGGCCCAGACUCCUAUGGGAGGCAGCAGUGGGGAAUAUUGGACAAUGGGCGGAAGCCUGAUCCAGCCAUGCCGCGUGUGUGAAGAAGGCCUUUUGGUUGUAAACUGCUUUUAUCCGGGAAUAAGGUCUUUGUAACUCAAGGACUUGAAGGUACCGGGGGAAUAAGGACCGGCUAACUACGUGCCAGCCGCCGCCGUAACAC
rnacentral:rRNA from 1 species